GAAAUGCGAUAACUAAUGUGAAUUGCAGAAUUCAGUGAAUCAUCGAGUCUUUGAACGCACAUUGCGCCCCCUGGUAUUCCGGGGGGCAUGCCUGUCCGAGCGUCAUUGCUGCCCUCAAGCCCGGCUUGUGUGUUGGGUCGCCGUCCCCCUCUCCGGGGGGACGGGCCCGAAAGGCAGCGGCGGCACCGCGUCCGAUCCUCGAGCGUAUGGGGCUUUGUCACAUGCUCUGUAGGAUUGGCCGGCGCCUGCCGACGUUUUCCAACCAUUCUUUCCAGGUUGACCUCGGAUCAGGUAGGGAUACCCGCUGAACUUAA
rnacentral:misc_RNA from 1 species